UUAGAAAUGUUUGCUACCGUUUUUGAUA
rnacentral:sRNA from 1 species